CAUUACUUGAAAUGACGGAUUGAAUCUGUCCCUGGCGGCACCACGGCUGUUUUAAAAUCAUCAGCCGAAGGAAGAAAAGAGCUCAGGAGCCACGCCAGUUUUGCUGUUACUUUUAUUGUUGACCGAAUGGCCCACCGACCUCGACACCCAGCAGGUGUGAAGAAGCACCACCUGACUGCCAUGUUCAGCAUCACUGCUUCACUUUCACUAGACCAGCCCACAUCCCCUCCAAGAGGCUGGCUGCAGAUUCAGAGCUGCCUCUCCAAAGCCUCUGUGACCAGAUGACACGAGCAGACCUGUCCUUCUCCCAUUGUGUCAGCACCAAUGGAGGAGCUUCUACAAAUGAAGUCAGGAGUGGUCUAGAUCCAUCCCCAGGUGACUUCAGCCAUGCCCAGUUCAGCUGGACGUCAUCAUACUUCUGCCACCUCCCAUACUGUCCUCUCCAGGUCUUCCCUCAUCUUUGUCCUGGCUGAAGCUACAGCUUCGUGGCUCAUGGUCGUCUCUGUGCUGCUGUGGCCCCAAGGGGUCAUAUUUUACCCUUCACUACAACACAUCCUCCCCC